rnacentral:rRNA from 1 species
UACGGAGGGUGCAAGCGCUAUCCGGAUUCACUGGGUUUAAAGGGUGCGUAGGCGGGCAGAUAAGUCAGUGGUGAAAUACCUGAGCUUAACUUGGGAACUGCCAUUGAUACUAUUUGUCUUGAAUGUUGUGGAGGUUAGCGGAAUAUGUCAUGUAGCGGUGAAAUGCUUAGAGAUGACAUAGAACACCUAUUGCGAAGGCAGCUAACUACGCAAAUAUUGACGCUGAGGCACGAAAGCGUGGGGAUCAAACAGG